rnacentral:rRNA from 1 species
AUUGAACGCUGGCGGCAUGCUUUACACAUGCAAGUCGAACGGCAGCACGGGUGCUUGCACCUGGUGGCGAGUGGCGAACGGGUGAGUAAUACAUCGGAACGUGCCCUAUCGUGGGGGAUAACGCAGCGAAAGUUGCGCUAAUACCGCAUACGCCCUGAGGGGGAAAGCGGGGGACCGUAAGGCCUCGCGCGAUUGGAGCGGCCGAUGUCUGAUUAGCUUGUUGGUGAGGUAAAGGCUCACCAAGGCAACGAUCAGUAGCUGGUCUGAGAGGACGAUCAGCCACACUGGGACUGAGACACGGCCCAAACUCCUACGGGAGGCAGCAGUGGGGAAUUUUGGACAAUGGGGGCAACCCUGAUCCAGCAAUGCCGCGUGAGUGAAGAAGGCCUUCGGGUUGUAAAGCUCUUUUGUCAGGGAAGAAACAGCAGCUUUAAUACAGCAUGCGAAUGACGGUACCUGAAGAAUAAGCACCGGCUAACUACGUGCCAGCAGCCGCCGCCG